CCUACGGGCGGCAGCAGUGGGGAAUAUUGGGCAAUGGACGCAAGUCUGACCCAGCAACGCCGCGUGAAGGAAGAAGGCUUUCGGGUCGUAAACUUCUGUUAAUGGGGAAGAGCAGAAGACGGUACCACUUUAAUAAGCCACGGCUAACUACGUGCCAGCAGCCGCGGUAAUACGUAGGUGGCAAGCGUUGUCCGGCUUUACUGGGUGUAAAGGUCGUGCAGUCGGAGAGACAAGUCAGAUGUGAAAUCCACGGGCUCAACCCGUGAACUGCAUUUGAAACUGGUUCACUUGAGUGUAGGAGAGGGAAUCGGAAUUCCUUGUGUAGCGGGGAAAGGCGUAGAUAUAAGGAAGAACACCAGUGGCGAAGGCGGAUUACUGGACGAUAACUGACGGUGAGGCGCGAAAGCGUGGGGAGCAAACAGGAUUAGAUACCCCUGUAGUC
rnacentral:rRNA from 1 species